CACAAAAUUAUUCUUCAAAAUGUUCUGAUGGGAUUGUAAUAUGAACCUUUUAAUAAGGCAUGUAACAUCAAUGGAUGACACUGAUUGACCACCAUGAAUCCGUCUGAUGUUGCUCACAGUGGUCAAAAGGAGCGCUCACGGCCUUAGUGUGUUUGCUCAGACGCGUAAAAAAUUAGAGGGAUUGCCCACUGCCAACAAACCUAACAGACUUCAUCCCUUGUUUACCUCCACUAAUCCCAGUAUUGAGAGGCAAGAUCCACCGAAGCAACCAACCCCAAUUGCAGACAGGGUAGUCAAUAACGAGGUGAGAAUUCACAAGCAAUUACUUGUAAAAAUGUCUGGAUUAUUUACUGAUUGUUAGUGGCCAGUUGAGUAAAUUGAAUGAACCAUUCAUGUUCUGGGGUGAUCCACAAUCUGAUUACCUGUGUUGAUUGCCACACCUGUGUUGGUUUGCCAUACUACCUGGGUGAUCACAAAGAGAGGAGGUUAUGUGGAGCAGAGCAGAGAAGCAGUUUUCACGGUGCUUGAAGAUGCAAUAAAGUUUGCACCCGUUGAACUCUACGCUGUCUCAUGCCAAGGGCUGCUACACUGAUAACGAAACAUGACGUUCGUCGCCCCAGGGUGAACUGACCAGACUCCAUGGAGGAGGAGGAUGUGUAUGCCAUCCUGGGUGUCCCCGAUUAGUUGAUCAGCUUCUACGUCACAUUUGCACGAGCAACCAAGUUUUGAGGCGAGUGUUUUUUUUUUUUUUGCGUGCAC